AGUUAAUAAGCUUUAAGCAAUAUAUUUUGAAAAUAUAAGAAAGAAAAUUAAUCUAUUAACUU
rnacentral:tRNA from 1 species